rnacentral:tRNA from 2 species
GCCCACCUAGCUCAGUUGGUAGAGCACGUCCUUGGUAAGGACGAGGUCUCGGGUUCGAUCCCCGAGGUGGGCUCAA